GGGGGUGAAUUUGGUUUCGACGGGGUUAAAGAAGCUUAGGACUGCACACCGUGUUCCCCAGAGUACACGUAAAACAAUUGGGACAAAAAAUAACUGGCGAAUAUAACUACGCCUUAGCUGCUUAAUUAAAUAAGCAGCCGUUUACCAAGUUUUUUCAUGCCGGAAUUUGGAUAAACGUCGUUUAGGUAUGAUAGCCGAUGCUGUUGCUUGUGCAGAUAAAGCGAAUUUCACAGCAAGCAGACUUUAAGCGAUCCCGGUCUGUUUGGUAACUUAAAGCUAAAAUAAAUACAGACUAUGUGUGUAGACGUUCUUUGGAUCUUAACUUCGGACGCGAGUUCGACUCUCGCCACCUCCACUC
rfam:Ignavibacteria bacterium RBG_16_35_7 RBG_16_scaffold_32231, whole genome shotgun sequence.